GAUGAACGCUAGCGGCAGGCUUAACACAUGCAAGUCGAGGGGUAUAGUAGCAAUACUAGAGACCGGCGCACGGGUGCGUAACGCGUAUGCAAUCUACCUUUGCAGAGGGAUAGCCCAGAGAAAUUUGGAUUAAUACCUCAUAGUAUAGUACCUUGGCAUCAAGGAACUAUUAAAGUCACAACGGCAAAAGAUGAGCAUGCGUCCCAUUAGUUAGUUGGUAAGGUAACGGCUUACCAAGACUACGAUGGGUAGGGGUCCUGAGAGGGAGAUCCCCCACACUGGUACUGAGACACGGACCAGACUCCUACGGGAGGCAGCAGUGAGGAAUAUUGGACAAUGGGCGCAAGCCUGAUCCAGCCAUGCCGCGUGCAGGAAGACGGUCCUAUGGAUUGUAAACUGCUUUUAUUUGGGAAUAAACCUCUUUACGUGUAGAGAGCUGAAGGUACCAAAUGAAUAAGCACCGGCUAACUCCGUG
rnacentral:rRNA from 1 species